AAAAUUUGUUGGGAGUAAGGGAUGGUUUGAGGAAUUUAGGGUGUACCAUAAUGUGGAGACCAGGUCUUAUUUGACAGUUAUGCCAAAGAACAAACAGUUCCUGCAGCUCUCAUGUUGUAUUCACCACAAAUUCAGGAAGUGGCUGAAGAAGGGGAUUACAUGCCUGCACAAAUCUUUAGUGCUAUCGAGAGUGUCAAGCUUUGAAACCCUUUGAAUACUUCUGAAGAGCAAGCGCCCACUGAUGCUGAGGUCAACAAAAUCAGAGAAGCUGACAUUUCCAUUUUUUGCCAAUACUUCAGGUGACCUCAUAAUGAAACCCUUGCUGCUCUACAGAAAAUUGUGCCCAAACCCUCUCAGGGGAAAUAAAUGAGCCAAGUUUCCAGUGUACUAGCAAGCAAACAGAAAAGCCCAGAUGAAUCUUCCUCUCCUUAAGGGAUGGUUUGAACAGUACUUUCUUGUGGAUGUUCAAGACUACUUAAAAGAAAAAAAAAUACCUUGAAUUCAAAGUCCUGCUGAUUCUUCAGUCUAUUUGGUGCUUCAGGUACAUUUGCCAAUAUGCAUCCUCAUGGUAAGGUUGUCUUUAUAACUAGCCACAUGUCUGAGAUUCUUGAGCCUUUCAGUCAGUGUUUGAUCUGGCCAUUCAGGAAGGCUUAUUAUAAACUAAUGUAUAACUUUGUUCACAAUCUCGCAAAGUUUCCACUGUCUGAAAAUCCUAGUGCAUGAGACUCCUACAUCGUUAUUAAUGGCAUAUCCUUAAUAAAAGUUUGGCUUUUGAUUUUUAAUGGGUUUUCAGGAGAUAACUUCCCAAAGAGGCAUUAGAUAGUUUAACAGAGCCUGUCAUUAAUGUGACCUGUGAGAAGACUUGGCUAGAGGUGGUGAAAUAUCUUUCCUCUAUCCCUCCCAAAGACAAGAAAAACCUAUGGAUGAGGAUGAAAAUUUGGCACAAGAGCAAUCAUUGGCGGAAGUUGAAUCUGAAACUGUUGACACCAAUUCAAGUUAAUGCUGCUAGAGGCUGAUCCUCAGGAAGCUUUCUUGUCUCCAGAGGUUAUUAUCAUAAGUGAUGAUGAAGACAAUUAGGAGGCUGUGGGACUGGAAACAAAUACAGCAAUAAGAAACAGGAGCAAAAUUUUUAGAACAAGAUUAAAACCUCCCUAAGAAGGUAAUUAAAAUUGGCAUCUUUACAUGUGUCAGAUAUUACCUGUUCAAAAUUUGAGUGACUUAGAGUUCUAUAAAGAGGUGCUAUGAUGCCAUCAAACAUAAUCAUAUUGGACAGAAACAAUCUUCAAUAGAACUUAAAUCAUGUGCCAUUUAAUACUGUUGCUGGACAGCUGAUAAAACUACCUUCUGACAAAGUUUGAUUUAAUUAGACUCUAAUAAAAGGUCCUAUGAGACUUUCUAAAAGACUAUAUUGGGAAGAAAGAAACCUCAGAAAAGUCUAAAUUAUCAAGUAGUACCAUUUAAAUACUCUUACUGGACAGCUAAUAAGCUACCUUCAGACAAAGAUUGAAUGAUUAAAUUGAACUCCAUACAGAACUGCUAAGGUGUCUUCAAAAAGGACUUGAGAAGAUGAAAGCAUCUUUAGAAGGGCCACUUAAAUUCACUUGCUUGAUAGAAAUAAAGCCUCAAGCAAGUUGUUAUAACUUCAGGAUUCGACUUCACUGACUCUAAGAGUAUAGACAUCCAUAAUUUGAACUAAUGAAUAGUCCACUUCUGUUCAUUGCUUCUCUGUCACCCCCAUUUGCCACUACCAUAAUGAGUGAUAGAUACAUCUUCAUCACCUCUGGAAAUCAUCUCAGGAUCUAAAUGGAAACUGUAUAAAGCCUAUCAUUUUUACUGAUUUAAACUAUGUAAACUCAUUAUUCUUUUUAUGUAAUGUGCUGUUGUUAUUGUUUACCUGCAUAAAAAUAUUUAUGAGGGUUUUCAACAGUUUACUUGAGACCUCAUUUUUGCCCAUUUUUUUCCUUCCCGAUAUCAUGAUCUCCUCAGCUGAACUUUCUUACCUUGGGGGUUGUUCAGGAACUGACUCUCAUGGGGAAAGAGGGAUUACUAUUUCUGUGUUCCUAUCUCUUGGUAACUGCUUAACCACAGUCAGUCUUGAACUAAUGGAAGGAGCACUGGACUUGGGUUCUUGAGACCUGGGUUCAUGUUCAGUUCUGCCACUGAUUAUUGUGACAUUGGGCCAGUCACUUGAUUUCUCUGAGCCUCAGUUUCAUCACCUGUUAAGUGAGGAUAGUAAUACCUGGCACAAAUAUCACAAUAUUAGUGAUAAUUGAAUAUAAUUAUAAGUACCCAAUGGCUAUUAAAAGUAAAACUAGGAAGUGCUGAAUAACCAUAAUAUCAUUAUAUUUGUAGCAUUUUGGACCUUAUCAAUGAACAACUGAGAAAACUAGGUUUUUGAAUUCUUUUACUUUUUAAAGUAACUUCCUCCCAUUUUUAUGUCAAUUAUAGAAAAUUUUAAAAAGAAAAUUAAAUGUGCCUAUAAUUUUAUAAGCCGGAGGUAACUAAGUUGGUAUUUUUCUUCUUAGUACCUCUUUGUCUCAUCAUAAAUUGUUCAUCAAUGUCAAAAACUUGGAAAAUAAAGAUAAGCAUAUAGAAAAAAAUAAAAACCACCCAUAAUCACAAAUCCCAGAAGCAAUGUUAAUAUUUUGGUGGAUUUAUUUCCAGUCUUUUUCUAUGGCUAUAUGUGCACAUAUAUAAUUUUUACAUAGAAAAAGUCAUAAUGCAUACAGCUUUGUUGCUUUUAGCAUUUUUAUCAUGAAUAUUUUCCUACAUUUAUGCAAAGUAUUUGUAAAUAUCAUUUUCAAUGGUGUAUAAUAUUUCAUCAUAGGAUGACAUCAUGGUUUAGUUAACCAUUUUCUUUUGUUGGAUAUUUGAGGGUCUUUCCAAAUUUGGCCAUUGUAAUUUCACAAUGUCUUUUUCAUUACCUAACUGAAAAUAUUUGCUUUGGUGAAAGCAGAGGAUUUUUUGUUGUUUGUUUGUUUGUUUUUGAAGAAGUCCUUUUAAUAGCUACAUUUCAUUGACUAAGUGGAACUUCAAGAGACAGGUAGAAGAAAAAAAAAAAGAAACAGUAGAUGUAAUUUCAAGAUUGAGGAUUUAUUUUGUUAGUGACUGUUCCAGAAGCUGAAUUUUGGUGUUAGAGCAAUUCAGGAGGGACAGUUUGCCACCAUUUUAUGAUACUUUACUGUAGAAAAGUUUUCAGGAUUUAGACCAGGAAAGAGACAUCCUAACCAUAUGGGUUGAUUUUAUUUUAUGGACCCUGUGAAGUCUGGGACUGAUCAGGUUUCUCUUUUGUUGGCUACUAGAAAGCUUGGAGUCAAAUGUGUGGUCAAUGCAUAGCACUUGUAAUGGGACUCUACGGUAUGUAUGCACUUUGUAUUAGCUUUCUGCCAGGCUCCAUUUCGUGUUCCUAUCUUUAUUGUUUUUGUUUUUUCCUUUUACUUUCUUAUCUACUUUGAAUUUAUGCUAUCAUGUUGUAUUUUGUGUAUUCUUGUAAGCCACCUGACAUCCAUCUUGGAACAUGGUGGGGAAUAAACACACUAAUAAAUAAAU
rnacentral:lncRNA from 1 species